rnacentral:rRNA from 1 species
CCUACGGGUGGCAGCAGUCGGGAAUAUUGCGCAAUGGAGGAAACUCUGACGCAGUGACGCCGCGUGCAUGAAGAAGGUUUUCGGAUUGUAAACUGCUAUCGACAGGGAAGAAAAAAGACAGUACCUGUAGAAUAAGCUCCGGCUAACUACGUGCCAGCAGCCGCGGUAAUACGUAGGGAGCAAGCGUUAUCCGGAUUUAUUGGGUGUAAAGGGUGCGUAGACGGUUUGAUAAGUUAGAGGUGAAAUGUCGGGGCUCAACCCCGGAACUGCCUCUGAUACUGUUGGACUAGAGUAUAGGUGAGGUAGGCGGAAUGUAUGGUGUAGCGGUGAAAUGCGUAGAGAUCAUACAGAACACCAGUGGCGAAGGCAGCUUGCUGGACUAUAACUGACGUUGAGGCACGAAAGCGUGGGUAGCAAACAGGAUUAGAUACCCCUGUAGUC